GCUGGAGAAUCUGCUGCCUUCCUGCCAGUAUGAAACGUGGAAGCGCCCCUAUCAUCAUCAUCACCAGUGUCGCGUAUCACAUCAGACCUCCGUCAUCUUUUAUAUUGGACGUUUAGUUUUACACUUCUUCCCCUGUUCACAGUGGUGAAUUUACCGCAACAUUUUGCAUCUUUAAAUAAAGUGCUUCGUGUUGCUGACUAAGAUUAUGGUUAAAUCUCUGAAUUAAUAGCCUCAACUGAAGCAGUGCGCUUUGUUCUGGGCCCCACAUUUCAGGAAGUGCCGGCGAAGGUGCAUUGAAAAUCCAACAGAAUGGUUCCAGCGAAGAGGAAUUUCCGUUACGUGGAUUAAUUAAAGAAAUCAGUCUAUUUGCAGAAAAAUACAUUGAGGAAAUUUUGUACGAAUUCAAAAUGCAGAAGGGGACUGACCAGAGUAUGUUCUCAUUCGUAGGAAGAUCGGGAACCGGAGACCCAGCGAAGUAAUGUUUAAAGAAACAUAACUGUUCCUUUAUAGUAUUGGCCGGAUUGUCAUGAUCAUGUCGUCUCUACCCGUGUUUUAAGCGCCCUUGUGUGCAAUCUCCGAUAAUAGAGCAGGAAGGAGGUAUCUCACCACCUGCACAAAGUACAGAAUUAGCAUCAGCCUGAGAUAUCAAUUGUUCUCCAGCAAUGCAAAUGUGUCAGCAACAGUUACCAUGGCAACAGCAUUCGCCACAGGAACAGCAUUUCUCAGAGAAAGAGCAUUACCACAGGAAUGAUCAGAUACUAGAAAAACAGACAACAGAAAUGUGUGGACAUACCACAGUUUAAAGGCUAUGUGUAGAAUGUAUAUACAGAGGUUGAUGUAAGUCAAACUGAAUAAAGUGAAACCCUUUUUUGUUAA